GAUGUCUGCCAUUAUUAGUGGUAAAAACUCGGAGCAGCAGAGGACAUGUCUGCAAUACGACCACAAAACACAGUUAGCAAUGCUAACCAGGAGGACUCCUGGUACCCCCCCUGUCAUUAUUCAGGUUUCCCCGAGAUCCGGACAGGAAACAGCGCUGGAUCCCUGCUGUGAAUCCUGAGGGCUGGGUUCCAAACGAGGGCAGCAGCCUCUGCAGUACACACUUUAUUUUAGUUCUGUACACCUGAGAGCAGAACCAUUCAGUUCUUUGGGACUUGUAUAUGUUUAUAAGACCCAUCAAAAUAUGAAUUAUUCAUGAAAAUCCUGCCAACUUGAUGGCACAAUAAAUGGCACAAUAGGCACAAGGCUCAAAGGAAACUUGCAUUAAUAAAACAACCUUUAACUGCCUAAUGUUUCUGUAGCUGCUGACCAGACAUGAACAGCGGUGUGGAGGAAUCGUAGACCACUCAGAGAGUGUUGUUCCAUGAAUAAAAACC